AAUCGAAAAGGGCAAACCUGCUGAAAAGCAGGGACGCAAAGCCAAGGGUCUAAGGUCAGCGCGGUAUGAACGCCCGGACUACGACAGCCGGUUGCCGAA
rnacentral:ncRNA from 2 species